UGCUGGUGGCGAGUGGCGAAGGGGUGAGUAAUGUAUCGGAACGUGACCCGUAGCGGGGGAGAACUACGCGAAAGCGUAACUUAUACCGCAAACGCCCUACAGGGGAAAGCAGGGGAUCGCAAGACCUUGCACUAUUGGAGCGGCCGAUAUCGGAUUAGCUAGUUGGUGGGGUAACGGCUCACCAACCGCGACGAUCCGUAGCUGGUUUGAGAGGACGACCAGCCACACUGGGACUGAAACACGGCCCAGACUCCUACGGGAGGCAGCGGUGGGGAAGUUUGGACAAUGGGGGAGACCCUGAUCCAGCCAUCCCGCGUGUGCGAUGAAGGCCUUCGGGUUGUGAAGCACUUUUGGCAGGAAAGAAACGUCGCGGGUUAAUACCCCGCGAAACUGACGGUACCUGCACAAUAAGCACCGGCUAACUACGUGCCAGCGGCCGCGGUAAUACGUAUGGUGCAGGCGUUAAUCGGAAUUACUGGGCGUAAAGCGUGCGCAUGCGGUUCGGAAAGAAAGAUGUGAAAUCCCAGAGCUUAACUUUGGAACUGCAUUUUUAACUACCGGGCUAGAGUGUGUCAGAGGGAGGUGGAAUUCCGCGUGUAGCAGUGAAAUGCGUAGAUAUGCGGAGGAACACCGAUGGCGAAGGCAGCCUCCUGGGAUAACACUGACGCUCAUGCACGAAAGCGUGGGGAGCAAACAGGAUUAGAUACCCUGGUAGUCCACGCCCUAAACGAUGUCAACUAGCUGUUGGGGCCUUCGGGCCUUGGUAGCGCAGCUAACGCGUGAAGUUGACCGCCUGGGGAGUACGGUCGCAAGAUUAAAACUCAAAGGAAUUGACGGGGACCCGCACAACCGGUGGAUGAUGUGGAUUAAUUCGAUGCAACGCGAAAAACCUUACCUACCCUUGACAUGUCUGGAAUGCCGAAGAGAUUUGGCAGUGCUCGCAAGAGAACCGGAACACAGGUGCUGCAUGGCUGUCGUCAGCUCGUGUCUUGAGAUGUUGGGUUAAGUCCCGCAACGAGCGCAACCCUUGUCAUUAGUUGCUACUAAGGGGCACUCUAAUGAAACUGCCUGUGACAAACCCGAGAAAAGUUGGGAAUAAGUUCAGGUCCUCAUGGCCCUUAU
rnacentral:rRNA from 1 species